GCCGGGAUGGCGGAAUUGGUAGACGCGCUUGACUUAGGAUCAAGUAUCGUAAGAUGUGCAGGUUCGAGUCCUGUUCCCGGCA
rnacentral:tRNA from 1 species